AUGAAGCUGGAUUCGCUAGUAAUCGCGCAUCAGCCACGGCGCGGUGAAUACGUUCCCGGGCCUUGUACACACCGCCCGUCAAGCCAUGGAAGCCGGGAGUGCCUGAAGUGCGUGACCGCAAGGAGCGUCCUAAGGCAAUACCGGUGACUGGGGCUAAGUCGUAACAAGGUAAC
rnacentral:rRNA from 1 species